AUUGAACGCUGGCGGCAGGCUUAACACAUGCAAGUCGAGCGGAGAUGAGGUGCUUGCACCUUAUCUUAGCGGCGGACGGGUGAGUAAUGCUUAGGAAUCUGCCUAUUAGUGGGGGACAACAUUCCGAAAGGAAUGCUAAUACCGCAUACGUCCUACGGGAGAAAGCAGGGGACCUUCGGGCCUUGCGCUAAUAGAUGAGCCUAAGUCGGAUUAGCUAGUUGGUGGGGUAAAGGCCUACCAAGGCGACGAUCUGUAGCGGGUCUGAGAGGAUGAUCCGCCACACUGGGACUGAGACACGGCCCAGACUCCUACGGGAGGCAGCAGUGGGGAAUAUUGGACAAUGGGCGGAAGCCUGAUCCAGCCAUGCCGCGUGUGUGAAGAAGGCCUUUUGGUUGUAAAGCACUUUAAGCGAGGAGGAGGCUACUUAGAUUAAUACUCUAGGAUAGUGGACGUUACUCGCAGAAUAAGCACCGGCUAACUUCGUGCCAGCCGCCGCGGUAAUAC
rnacentral:rRNA from 1 species